ensembl:snRNA U7 U7 small nuclear RNA
AAGUAUUAUGGCUCUUUUAGAAUUUGUCUAGGUUUUCUGGUUUUACCAGAAGACACUC